UUGUAGUCAUAUGCUUGUCUCAAAGAUUAAGCCAUGCAUGUCUAAGUAUAAGCAAUCUAUACGGUGAAACUGCGAAUGGCUCAUUAAAUCAGUUAUCGUUUAUUUGAUAGUACCUUACUACAUGGAUAACCGUGGUAAUUCUAGAGCUAAUACAUGCUAAAAACCCCGACUUCGGGAGGGGUGUAUUUAUUAGAUAAAAGACCAACGCCCUUCGGGGCUCCCUGGUGAUUCAUGAUAACUUAACGAAUCGCAUGGCCUUGCGCCGGCGAUGGUUCAUUCAAAUUUCUGCCCUAUCAACUUUCGAUGGUAGGAUAGUGGCCUACCAUGGUAUCAACGGGUAACGGGGAAUUAGGGUUCGAUUCCGGAGAGGGAGCCUGAGAAACGGCUACCACAUCCAAGGAAGGCAGCAGGCGCGCAAAUUACCCAAUCCCGACACGGGGAGGUAGUGACAAUAAAUACUGAUACAGGGCUCUUUUGGGUCUUGUAAUUGGAAUGAGUACAAUUUAAAUCCCUUAACGAGGAACAAUUGGAGGGCAAGUCUGGUGCCAGCAGCCGCGGUAAUUCCAGCUCCAAUAGCGUAUAUUAAAGUUGUUGCAGUUAAAAAGCUCGUAGUUGAACCUNGGGCCUGGCUGGCCGGUCCGCCUCACCGCGUGCACUGGUCCGGCCGGGCCUUUCCUCCUGGGGAUCCGCAUGCCCUUCACUGGGUGUGCCGGGGAACCAGGACUUUUACUUUGAAAAAAUUAGAGUGUUCAAAGCAGGCCUAUGCUCGAAUACAUUAGCAUGGAAUAAUAGAAUA
rnacentral:rRNA from 1 species